AUACAUUUAUGCUUUAAUUAUUGCAUUACUUUAAUUCAUUCAUUUGUUCUUUUAGCCAUUAUAUAUUAUUUUCCCAUUAUGUGUCUAGCAUGGCUGUAGAUACUGAGAUUGCAGUGGUGAAUAAGCCAAUCAAGGCAUUGACUCUCCCCAGUUUCCAGCCUGGUAGAGGGCAAAAAUAUCAAGUAAAUGAGUAAGUAAGUAAACAGAUAACAGAUGGCAAUAAAUGUAUGAAGAAGAUUAAAAGGUGAUAUGAUAUAGAUAAGGACAUAUAGCUAAGAGGAGCUCUUGUUUUAACUGAGAUCUGAAUGAUAGUAAUUAACUAGCCAUAACAAGAUAAGAAGAAGCCCCUUUUCAGGCAGAAAACACAGCUAGUGUAAAAAGCCAAAGACGAAAAUCAGUUUAUCCUGUUCCAGGGAAACGAGAAGUUGAAUGUGCUUGAAAUGAGUGGGUAAUGUGAAGCAUAAGGCAAGAUAAGUUAAGGAGGCAGGCAGAAUUAAAUGAUUUAAGACUUUAUAAGCUAGGGAAAGAAUUCAUAUCUUAAGCGUAAUGGAAAACUACUAGAGUUUUUAAAAAUGUCUUUUAUGUAAACAGUGAAUUGUUCACGGUAAAAGUAAAGGCUGAGAGUUCAGCUAGGGUGUCCCUGUAGCGAUUCUGAUGAGAGAUAACAUUAGGUAAACAUAGAAGGUAAUGCAGAUGGAGAGAAGCAGAUAGUUUGGGAUUAUGUUUUUGAGGCAGAGUUGAAAAGGCUUUCAGACUGAUUAGAUGUGGGUAAGAGAGAAAAAUAAGAAAGAGAAUUUAUCUGCUUAAACAGCUUAUUGAAUGAUAGCACCAUGUAUUAAGAUGCAGAUCAGAGGAAAAAUUAGUUUUGGGGUGUUAUGACCACUUCCUAUUCAUCCCAUUGGUGAAGGAGGAAUCUCGUGCCCAAAAUUAUAGGAGAUGUUCAAGCACACAACCCCUGACACUGGACAGAUGAGAUCAUCCAGCCACAACACACUGCAUGCUGUGAAGGGCCACACAGGUGUUGCACUCAGGAGCUGAGUGAACUGGGCUGUGGGAGGCAGGCUUUGUUAGUAAUGGGAGGGUGAGAUGUCCCCUGGUUCCUGCAGAAGGAUUGGAUUGCUUUGCUUGAGUAAUUGUAUGGGUUGGCCGGGAGAUUAAACCUGUUAGGUUGAGGACAGGGUAGAAUGCAACAGCUGACGGAAGAACUAGCUGGGCAGAGAACAUUUCCUACUGAGUAGGGGCAUAUCUGGUGACAGCAAGAGAACUCACAGAUAGGCCUUUCGGGCCCUGUAAAGUUAAAAAUGUCAAGGCAGCACUUGAAAGUUUAGGUCUUACCCUACGUCGGGGAAAUUAAGGUCCCUUUGGCCAUGUUACAUUUGAGAUGACUGUAAAGACUGCAUCGAAGUGGAGACAUCAUGUUGUAUAUGUAAGUCUGAAACUGUGAGACAUCAGAAUUGGAGGUAAAGAUUUAGGCGAUAAGGACAUUUAACAUCAUGGGACUGAGUAGAAGAAUGUGUAGAUAGAGAAGAGAAAAGGUUGAGCUUUAGAUGCGUUUCAACAUUGAGAGUUGGAGCAGAGGAAAGGGAGCAUCAAGGAGACUUGGAAGAGUAGCUAUUGAGGUAGGAAGAAAACCAGGAAGGCGAAGUGUUAUGAGCUGAGAGAAGCAUUCCAAGAAGGAAGUGAUUAUUUCUGACAAAUGCUGCUGAGUUGUCAUAGAAGGUAAGUAAUCAUCAGACCUGCAACGUGAUAACCUUGACAAGAGAGUCUCUGUAGAGUUGUGGGAAAUUGGAUGUUCUUGGUAGGUACUUAUUUAUAGUUAGUUGAAACUAGUGGUGUCUGCUGGUCUGUAGCCUCUAGUUACUGUUUCCUGUUAAUCGCACUAUGUAAAAAAUAAUCUAUGGAAUCAAAGGCAAAUUGAUAAGCUCAGAAUUCCAUAGAAAAUUGGCCUCAUCUCCCUUUCACAAGUCAAUGUAAGAUUUUGUGAGCUGUUUUCUAUCCAAUAGUGCAAUUGCUUAUGGUCAUAGGCAGGAGUAUAACAAGCACCCCAUGGCCCUGCCUUUCUGUCAUGGCACACUCCAUGAUUGGUUAUACUGGGGCCCUGCUAACCUACUUUAUUUUCACAAACAAGACAAGCUCCCAUCUCAGAGCACUGGCACAUACUUUUCUCUCUGUCUGGAAACAUAAUCUCUUUUCUUCUGGAUGAUCUCAACUUUAGGAUCACCUUAGGUUUCUUCUUAAAUGUCCCUUUCUUAGGAAAGUCUUCCUGGUCUCAUAAAUUGGCUUAUGUUUCCCUGCAAUGCACUCUUAUCCUGAUUUUUCCCUUUACAACUCUUGAACGCAUCUGCAUUCCAUGUUCAUAUAAUUAUCUGAGUACUAUCUCCUUUACUCGACUAUAAAUUCUAUGAAGUCAUCUUCUCAAUAUAUUUUAUUCUUCACGGUAUUUCUGGUGCUUGGCACAAGCCCUGGUGUAAAGGGAGUGAACAAUAAAUUAUAAAAAUAAAAUAAUAAUAAAUACCAGAGGGUUUUUCUUUGAGGGAGGUGGCAGACAGUUUAUUAAUUCUUUUUUUUCUUCUUUUUUAUUUUAUUUUUGUUACAGAUGAAAACAUUUACUUCAGACUGUUUACUACUGUUCGAUUCUAUUUUUCCUUUGAUUUUCUCUUCUCAGUCAUAAGUGGAAAUGGAAGGGAUUCAUUCAAAGGUAAAAUUCUGAGAUUUUGGAGGAAGAAGUUGGCCCAUAGAAGAAUCAUCCAGUUAGAACCCCAAGAUCAUUAUUUGGGGCAUCUAAUUAUUAAUGUGGGAUGCUUUAUAAAGUGUGUAUGGGGGUCUUGAAAGAUAAAGCCUGUGCCUCUCUCAGUGAAUUCUUAAAUUUUCCCUUCCUUCUGCAUUUUGAAUUUGAACCAAGAAAAUGGAACAACAUUGUAUGUUUCCAGUGAAGAUAAAAACAUCUGUUGAAUAUCUUGAGUCUAGAAAAUAACAUUGAAAAUAUAGUGGUUGAGGACCAAUUCCUCAUCCUGAAGUUUACAAUGUAAUGAAAAAAAGGAAAUGUAUAAUUUUAAUAAAAAUGCAUGCAUUGAAAUGUGGUGAGUAUGAACAUGUGCAGAUAAAAUUUAAAAUAAUAUUUAUGAGAAUGUACUAGUUUAUUGUAAUAAAGAAUGACUCAAUACAUGCCUACUAACUGUAGGCUCAGAGGAUAUUAGACUAAAUGAAAUUAGUCUACUGAUGUUUUCAUUGUUGAAUUUGUGAGCAUUCUACUAUUCCUUGAACAGGGUAGUUAAGCUCCAGCCAUAGAUUAUUUUCCCUGGCUCCUCCCUCUACCUAGAACACUCUUCUAACCAUGAUUCCCAGGGCUUAAGUACCUCACCUCCUUCAAGCCGUUGCACAAUUGUCAUUUUUUCUUUGAGUGCUAUUCUGACCAAUUAAUUUAAAAUCACAGUCUGCCCUUCCAGCCCUCCCAGAACCUCUUAGCUUGCUCUUUCUCUUCAGUUUGUUAUGUUUUUUCUUUAUUUUGUGUCUCCUGAUGCUGGACUACAAAAGAGCAAGGAUUUUCU
rnacentral:lncRNA from 10 species